GCUCAACAACUAGCUUAAACUACCCGGAAUAAAUUAACAACAUAAUUAACCCAACAAAAACCAAAAAUAAUAAACAAAUCAUUUUUCCACCCUAGUAUGGGAGACAGAAAAGGAACCACAAAGCAAUAGAGAAAGUACCGCAAGGGAAAGUUGAAAGAGAAAUGAAACAACCCAUUUAAGCCCUAAAAAGCAGAGAUUAACCCUCGUACCUUUUGCAUCAUGAUUUAGCCAGCACUAUCCGAGCAAAGAGAACUUUAGUUCGAGACCCCGAAACCGAGUGAGCUACUCCGAGACAGCCUAUUAUAGGGCCAACCCGUCUCUGUGGCAAAAGAGUGGGAAGAGCUCCGAGUAGAGGUGACAAACCUACCGAACCCGGUUAUAGCUGGUUGCCUAAGAAGUGGAUAUAAGUUCAGCCCCUUACUCCUCAGGUCACAACUAGUAGUACACGAACGCUAGACCCAGAGAAAAUAAAGGGAGUUAGUCAGAGGAGGUACAGCUCCUCUGAACCAGGACACAACCUUACCAGGAGGUAAAGGAUCAUAUUUAACAAGGCCAACCGUUUCAGUGGGCCUAAAAGCAGCCAUCUGCACAGAAAGCGUUAAAGCUCAGACGGACCAAAGACCCCUUAUUCUGAUAACCAACCCCAACCCCCUAACAGUACUAGGCCGCCCUAUGCCACCAUAGGAGAGACAAUGCUAAAAUGAGUAAUAAGAAGGACACCCUUCUCCCUAGCACAUGUGUAAGUUAGCCCGGAUCUUCCACUAACAAAUAACGAACUCAACCAAAGAGAGUACUGCGAAUUUAAAUAUAACCUAGAAAACCCCGCACACCCAUAUCGUUACCCCAACACAGGAGUGCCCACAAAAGGAAAGACCCAAAAGAAAAGAAGGAACUCGGCAAACACAAGCCUCGCCUGUUUACCAAAAACAUCGCCUCCUGUAAAUCAGAACAUAGGAGGUCCCGCCUGCCCUGUGACUAUAAGUUUAACGGCCGCGGUAUUUUGACCGUGCGAAGGUAGCGCAAUCACUUGUCUUUUAAAUAAGGACCUGUAUGAAUGGCAUCACGAGGGCUUAGCUGUCUCCUUUUCUAAGUCAAUGAAAUUGAUCUACCCGUGCAGAAGCGGGUAUACUCCUACAAGACGAGAAGACCCUGUGGAGCUUAAGACACAAGGCCAGCUACGUUAAACAACCAAACUCAAAUGGUAUAAACAAAGUACAAAUAUGUCCAACAUGUCUUCGGUUGGGGCGACCGCGGGGGAAAAAUAAGCCCCCACGUGGACCGGGAUUAUUCCUAAAGCCAAGAGGUACACCUCUAAGCCUCAGAACAUCUGACCAUAAAUGAUCCGGCUAAAACCGAUCAACGAACCAAGUUACCCCAGGGAUAACAGCGCAAUCCUCUCCCAGAGUCCUUAUCGACGAGAGGGUUUACGACCUCGAUGUUGGAUCAGGACAUCCUAAUGGUGCAGUCGCUAUUAAGGGUUCGUUUGUUCAACGAUUAAAGUCCUACGUGAUCUGAGUUCAGACCGGAGUAAUCCAGGUCAGUUUCUAUCUGUAACGCUACUUCUCCUAGUACGAAAGGACCGGAGAAGAGGGGCCCAUGCUUCAGGUAUGCCCCACCCCGACCUGAUGAAAACAACUAAAACAGACAAGGGGGCGCAAUCCCUUCAGCCCUAGAUAAGGGCAU
rnacentral:rRNA from 1 species